rnacentral:tRNA from 2 species
AGGGGUAUAGUUCAAUUGGUAGAGCAGCGGUCUCCAAAACCGUAGAUCUGGGUUCAAGUCCUAGUACCCCUGCCA